rnacentral:rRNA from 1 species
UACGGAGGGGGCUAGCGUUGUUCGGAAUUACUGGGCGUAAAGCGCACGUAGUCGGCUUUGCAAGUCGGUUGUGAAAUCCCCGGGCUCAACCUGGGAACUGCAUCCGAGACUGCAUUGCUAGAGUAUGGGAGAGGAAAGCGGAAUUUCUGGUGUAGCAGUGAAAUGCGUAGAUAUCAGAAGGAACAUCAGUGGCGAAGGCGCUUUCUGGACCAAUACUGACGAUCAGGUGCGAAAGCGUGGGGAGCAAACAGG